CAAUUAAAUUGUUCUAUUUUUAUUUUUAUCAAAAUAGUGUUAAUAAGAUAAAGGUGUUAGAGUAUUUUUUAUAGAAAUAUUAUGAUGAAGCUAAAUAGAGAGUACUGUGAAGGAAAGUUGAAAUAAUUUUAAAUAUUAAUAAACAGAAAAGUAAAGGUUAUGUCUUGUACCUUUUGUAUAAUGGUUCAAUAAGGUUAUAAAAAUAGGUUUUUUUACCCCGAAGUUGGGCGAGUUAGUAUACUCUACUUAAAGAGGUAAAGUUUUUACUGUUGCAAUAGUAAGACUUGAGGGUAUACUAGAUGUGAAAUAUUUAUCGUGCUCAAGGAUAGCUGGUUCUUUUAGAAAGAGGUGUAAGCCAAGUAUUCAUUUUUGUUAAAUAGGUGUUGUUUUACAGAACAAUAAUUUGGUUUUAACAAUUAUGUAUUUGUUAGACAGAAAGGGAUAAGCUUUUCUGUCAAUAAAGAAAAAGCUUUUAUUACUGAUUAAGAAUGUUUUUGUAGAAAUGUGUUUACGCUGUAAAAAAGUAGGAUUAAUAGCAUCAAACUUUAAAAAUAGCGUUAAAGCUUAUUUUUAGUAACAAUACAAAAAAUUUUAGGAGAAGAAUUUUAUAUCGUAAUAUUGUAUGAAAGAAUUCCAUUAAUUUGGAAGUUAUAAUGUUGAAAUUAGUAGGGUUAUAAACUAUACCUUUUGUGUAUUAACCAAUCCUAACAUUGGAUGGGACAAAUAUUUUUUGUCGAGAAAUGAAUUUGAAUCGUUGUCUACUAACACAAGUGGUAAUAUUUUUAUAAAAAUAAGUGAAAGGAACUCGGCAAAUGUUGAUUUCGCCUGUUUACCAAAAACAUCGCUCUUUGUAAAGAAUCUUAAAUAUAAGGAGUCCUGCCUGCCCGGUGACUAUUUUAGUUAAACGGCCGCGGUAUCUUGACCGUGCGAAGGUAGCAUAAUCAUUUGCCUUUUAAAUUGGGGCUGGAAUGAAUGGCAAGACGGGAAUUAAGCUGUCUCUCUCUUAUAUUUUGAAAUUAGUAUUUUUGUGAAGAAACAGAAAUGUGGUCGUAGGACGAGAAGACCCUAUCGAGCUUAAAUAUAGGAAAAUGUAAUAUAUUUGUUAUUGUUUUAUGCUAAUUAGAAGUUAAUAAUUUCUUUUGUGAUUACUAUAAGGACAAUAAUGUUGUACAUAUUUUAUUUGGAUUGGGGCAAUCACGGAGAAUAAUAACCCUCCGUUAUUUUUUUUAAAAAAAAUCUUUUUGUUUUUGAAAAUUUCAAUUUAAGUGAUCCACUAAAAAGGUGAUAAAAAGAAUAAGUUACCGUAGGGAUAACAGCGUAAUUUUUUUGGAGAGUUCAUAUUGAUAAAAAAGUUUGCGACCUCGAUGUUGGAUCGGGAUUUCCUAGGGAUGCAGAAGUUCCUAAUGGUUGGUCUGUUCGACCAUUAAAAUCCUACGUGAUCUGAGUUCAGACCGGCGGGAGCCAGGUCAGUUUCUAUCCACGAUUAUUUUAAAAUAGUUUUUUUUAGUACGAAAGGACCAAAAAGACGGUAUCCCUGCUUUUUGGUAUAUACUGUAGGGUGUCCUGUUUAAAAAUAAGGCUA
rnacentral:rRNA from 1 species